UGUUGAGCGAAACAGCAGACUGUGACCGUCUUCGUCUCCUACCAUCACCGUCUACCCAGUUUUAACCUCUACACCGUUCCCUUUCUUAUCUGGAUACUCGAGUUGGUCCACGUGCGUCUCUCUGUGUAUGAGUGUGUGAGUGCGACUAUCUGUCUGGCUGCGAGUGUGUGCGCGUAGGUGUAAGGCUUUUCGGGAUAAGAAGAGCAGCAACGAGGGACCAGCGGCAACUCCUCACCGCGGGUAUCUCCUCUCCACCACCACCAUCUCCACAACCAUCACCCUUUCUUUCCUCUCUUCCGCUACCCCCAAGCAACAUCAGCGGACACCGCUCCCUUAGCCACAGAGGCAGCAACAACAAAAAGGAAGUACACAGCGAGAAAAUGAGUCACAAGUAUAUCUUCAAGUACAUCAUCAUCGGCGACAUGAGCGUCGGAAAGAGCUGUCUCAUGCACCUGUUCACGGAGCAGCGGUACCGCAAGGACCUUCCGCACACUAUCGGUGUCGACUUCGGCACCACGGUCGUCGACAUCAACGGUGAGCUCGUGAAGCUGCAGAUGUGGGACACCGCCGGACAAGAACGCUUUCGCUCUGUCACACGAGGCUACUACCGCGGCGCAGCCGGCGCACUCCUUGUGUAUGACAUUAGCCGGCGAUCGACCUAUGCCCACAUAGGCACUUGGCUGACCGAUGCUCGCGCGAACACAGGGCCAGAGACGGUCUUCAUUCUCGUAGGCAACAAGUCUGACCUGGAGGAGGAGCGAGAGGUGUCGUACGAGGAGGCGGCUCAGUUCGCAGCGGAGCACAAUCUGCUUUUUGUGGAGUGCAGCUCGCUAAACGGCAACAACGUCGAGGAGGUCUUCCUGUCUACGGCGCGCCGCAUUCACGAGAAGGUGAAGAGCGGUGUGAUGAGCCCGGUCGAUCCGGAGAGUGGCGUGCAGCUGCACGCGGCCGCCAUUCCCACCUCGACCGCUAACAGUGGCCAGACUGGGGGUCCCGUCGACUUGAAGGCCGGCACGAGUGGCGGCGUCGCUGCGGCGGCAGAGUCGAGCUGCUGCUAGGAGGAGCUCCUCCUGCUCCGUCCCUCACCCUCCGCCUUCCCACAACACACGCACAGGCACAUAUAUAUCUGUACGUUCAAAGGCCGUAGAGAAACCGCAAGAGAGAUUGUGUGUGUGUGGGUGUGGAGGGCUCGGGUGGGCGUACGCCUCUCUGCGCAAGCACGCGCGGUGCGUGUAAGCGCGUGUUAGGAUGAGGUGGCUGGGAGAGGGCAAAGGCGGAAGAGGAGGAGGGCGGCGUCGAGGGUGGCAGUGGUAGUGGUUUUUGAGCUGCUCAGCAGAUUCUAAACGACCACAGUGAGCUGCUGUUUGCCUGCCGGGUUGUGUGCACACGUGCAGCGGCGAGAUGCUCUGUCGUGACCAGGCUUGUUUCACGCGCCCAACCCAAUCGACUCCCCUCCCCUUCUGCUCACCGCCUUCUCCUCCCUUCCACGCGACUUUCGUCUCUCAUAGCACGCGGCCCCGACUUUCCCCCGCUGUGUGAUGUCUCGCGUGCUGUGACGCUUGCUCGAAAUGUGCCGUGCCUUCUGUUCGCUUGGUGCUCUCCGAGGGAGAGAGGAGAGAGAGGAGAUAGGGCGAAGUGGCGCAGGGCCGAGAGAGGGUGCUGAUGCUGAUGGACGCACGCAUCGAUUCUUUCCCUCUCACCCCCCGUAUUGGUUUCCCACUACAAACGCGUAAGCUUCUCCCUUCCUCCUCUCUCUCGCAUCCACCUCCUUCUUUCGUCUCUCGCUCUCUUCACUGCUCUCCUCCUGUCUUGCUGCAGCUGGCUGGUGCGGCUCUAUUGUUUAUUGUACUGUCCGCAGCAGCAGCAGCAGUAAGCAGGCUGUAGCGGCAACUGCGUGUGCACGUGUCUCUCACACCCACUCCACCUGCUGACGUGUAGGUGUGUGUGCGCGUGUCUGUGUCUGUGGAGGAGGAGGGUGGGGGGCUAUAAGGAGAGGCGGUCGAUGGCGGGGGUAAAGGUGUGGAGGCCGUCAACAUACACCUAUGUGCUUGGUCGGCCGACUUUUUAUCAUCGGCCGCCAUCCUUCCUUCCUUCCCUCUUGUCCGUCGCUCUCCGUGUCGCUUCUCUCUCCCUCCCUUUCUUGUGGCAUUUCGCUCCUCUCGCUACUGCACGGAAGACAUACCUU
rnacentral:misc_RNA from 1 species